UACGAAGGGGGCUAGCGUUGCUCGGAAUCACUGGGCGUAAAGGGUGCGUAGGCGGGUUUUUAAGUCAGGGGUGAAAUCCUGGAGCUCAACUCCAGAACUGCCUUUGAUACUGAAGAUCUUGAGUCCGGGAGAGGUGAGUGGAACUGCGAGUGUAGAGGUGAAAUUCGUAGAUAUUCGCAAGAACACCAGUGGCGAAGGCAGCUCACUGGCCCGGUACUGACGCUGAGGCACGAAAGCGUGGGGAGCAAACAGG
rnacentral:rRNA from 1 species